UUAUUUGCAGAGUUUUGGAUACGCUAAUGCUUCUGCUGAAAACUCUAUGCUGAGUCACGACAACACUCGGACAAUGAAUGGUAACCAGUGUACAACCACGGUAAACUUCCUUUCUAAUUUUUCCUUUCAUUGCUAAUGCAUGAGAUUUUUUUUUCUUCAAAUUGUACAAUGUACACUUACACUUCCAAUGUACACUUCCGUUCUACUCUGUAGCAAUGCAGAUGUUUUUUUUUAAUAUCAACGAGUAGUGGAAACAAUCCUCUAAUCUGCUUAGGCUCAUCGAGGAAUUCCUACUCCUAUCUUUUCAAUAAUAUGGUUGCAUGCAUCAUUAUGAUGCGGAGGCUACGGGCAUUCCUCCUUUUCAAAAAAAUAAAUAAAUCUUAAUUUGUUGAUCGAACCUCAUAAUCCUACUAUUCAUUUGGCUUGACAAAUUUAUCAAUAUAGCAAUUUUUUCUAUUUGAGCUUUACUAUGAUCAUAGUAUCGUUAGGGUUGCAGUGAUUUAUUAUUGAAACUGAAAUGACUUACACAUCAUUACCUUACAUCAUUACCUCAUGUUUCCAGCUUCUUCCUGAACCGGACGCUCCUGCUGAUGAGAUGUCAACGCAGAAUGACGCCCUCUUUACUUCGUUUUGCAAUGACUUGGAUCCUUUACCACCCAAUCAGAAUGUCACGGUACGAUAACUUGGAUCCUUUUCACUGCUACAAAUGCUUACGUUCUGCUACAAAUAACUUGAAUUUUAGCUCCAUACAUGAAAACGACGGAACAGUUAUAAUUUUAAAUCCUCUGUAGCAAUGAUAUGGUAGCAUUUCCGUGACCCCACAAGGGAAAAGGACUACAUGUGAUCUUACCCUAAACUUGGCUUGCACCAAUCAACUUACAGAUUACAUAAGAAGCUCACAUGAUGGUUUGUGUUGUAUAAAGCAAUUAUAAUACCUAAGCCAGCUUAUAUUCUUCAAAUCACUUCUAACAGUUCGGUUUGUUGAUUGAUUAUAACUGCUUACAGCUGCCUUCCAUGUAACAUAAAUAAUAACAGCCUAAAUUUGAACAGACUAAUCACAGCGAGACAUUGCUGGAACCUUCUCCUCCGGGUGAGCCUUAUUGGCCAACUGAACAGGAUUAUUAUCAAGAUGGGCAAUCCAACUGGUGGUGAGGUAUGUGUGCUCUACCAUGCUUGUUGGCCCAUCAGCUACUUCCUCUGUCUCAGUAAAGUUACAUAUUUCUACGGGGUCUUAGUAAAGUUACAAAUUUCCCGGCAAAAAAGAGAGUAAAGUUACUACUCCUUCCGAUCCAAGAAAAAGUGUCGUGGUUUUGGUUCAAAUUUAAACUAAAACCACAGCAUUUUAUUUUGGAUCAGAGGGAGUAAUUGUUUCUCAAUGCCAAAAAGAAAUAUUAAUUACCAGAUCAGAAGUUAAUUGACAAACCAACCUAUAUGGUUUGGUCCUACCUCCAGUUUCCAAAAUUUCGUUUGCAUUGGUCGAUGGCGAGCAAGAUUUUAAGCAUGCUGACUAUAUUGCAGGAAACAAGAUAAAAUGCCGAGAGAUUUGAGGAUACUGACGUGUAGAGAUGCUGUGGCCUGUGAGAACUUCCUUUCAAAGACAAUAUGAUCCCUGGAGUACGAUCCCUGGAGUACUUCCUUCUACAAGUGUCUUCCACAUGAACAACCCUACUUAGAAGUUAAUAAAAGCUUUUAUCCUUUGGCCUCAUUAGUUGCCAUAGAGUUUUGAGAGUUGUGGUGAUAUGCCAUAGAAG
rnacentral:lncRNA from 1 species